rnacentral:rRNA from 1 species
UUCCACGCCCUAAACUAUGUCUACUAGUUGUUGGGGAGUUAAAUCCCUUAGUAACGCAGCUAACGCGAGAAGUAGACCGCCUGGGGAGUACGGUCGCAAGAUUAAAACUCAAAGGAAUUGACGGGGCCCGCACAAGCGGUGGAUGAUGUGGUUUAAUUCGAUGCAACGCGAAAACCUUACCUACCCUUGACAUGUCCGGAAUUCUGCAGAGAUGCAGAAGUGCCCGAAAGGGAACCGGAACACAGGUGCUGCAUGGCUGUCGU